ensembl:misc_RNA Metazoa_SRP Metazoan signal recognition particle RNA
GCUGGGCAUGGUGGCUCAUGCCUGUAAUCCCAGCACUUUGGGAGGCUGAGGAAGGAGGAUCACUUGAAAUCAGGAGUUCAGGACCAGCCUGAGUAAAAAAGUGAGACCCUGUCUCUA